UUAAUGGAGAGUUUGAUCCUGGCUCAGGACGAACGCUGGCGGCGUGCCUAAUACAUGCAAGUCGAGCGGGGUUGAUUAGAAGCUUGCUUCUAAUCAACCUAGCGGCGGACGGGUGAGUAACACGUAGGCAACCUGCCCACAAGACAGGGAUA
rnacentral:rRNA from 1 species